rnacentral:rRNA from 1 species
GAUGAACGCUGGCGGCGUGCCUAAUACAUGCAAGUCGAGCGAACAGACGAGGAGCUUGCUCCUCUGACGUUAGCGGCGGACGGGUGAGUAACACGUGGAUAACCUACCUAUAAGACUGGGAUAACUUCGGGAAACCGGAGCUAAUACCGGAUAAUAUAUUGAACCGCAUGGUUCAAUAGUGAAAGACGGUUUUGCUGUCACUUAUAGAUGGAUCCGCGCCGCAUUAGCUAGUUGGUAAGGUAACGGCUUACCAAGGCAACGAUGCGUAGCCGACCUGAGAGGGUGAUCGGCCACACUGGAACUGAGACACGGUCCAGACUCCUACGGGAGGCAGCAGUAGGGAAUCUUCCGCAGUGGGCGAAAGCCUGACGGAGCAACGCCGCGUGAGUGAUGAAGGUCUUCGGAUCGUAAAACUCUGUUAUUAGGGAAGAACAAAUGUGUAAGUAACUAUGCACGUCUUGACGGUACCUAAUCAGAAAGCCACGGCUAGCUACGU